UACCUUUCUGUGGUGUAGUGGUAGCACCUUGUCUUAGUAAUCAUAGGCCCUAGGUUCGAGUCCUGGGCGGGGUAA